UGACAUUUGGGUAUUGGAAAAAUGACCCAGGCUAAGAGCAUCCUCUGUAACAUUUUCGUCCAGUCAAUAGGAAAAGGUUCAUAUAAAGCUGCUGACCAGCCAUCUCACGGGGAAGAAACCAGUAUUUCCAUAGUCCCACCACCUGGCCUUGUCAGCACUGUCCCUUGAUCUUUUUUCAGGCUGCUGCUUGGUUAUGUUUUCCUCUGAGCAGACACAGAAAGGGGAAUGGACUUAGGGCUGCCCCCUAGGGGUGGCGGCAACCGUGUGAUGAGAUGCGACAAAGAGCUACACACAAA